rnacentral:lncRNA from 1 species
CGGGGGCUUCGAUUCAGGCCAUGGACCACAGCCGAAGCCUCAAUUCGAUGCGUGCCCAGUCGGAAAGCCAGGAAGUGUUGGCAAGAAGCAAGCAAGUGGAUUUUAAUGCAUGUGUUGACUUAACAUGCUUGGAAACGUUCGGAGAGAAGAGCAGUGUGCUAAACGUGAAGAAAGAGCUUGAGCUAACCCUGGAUGACCGGUUCCUGCCUUCACCCCACAGGUCCUUCUGACUGAUCUCUUGUAACUGUCACAUUGUUAUCAACAGCACGAUCGCUGGGUGUGGAGUUAGGAGGAAGGAGAAUUAAGAACAUGAACUGAACUCUCAGGAUCAUCUUGAUCAAGAGGCACUAAUGCCAUGUUGUUUCCCAGUGACAUGCUGCUACCUUGAGAACCACAGUGAG